GUAUUGAUUUUGCGUGUCACCGCAAAAAAGAAAAGUACAUUCUAUAUCACUUUGAGGUUUGUGUGGGGAAAAAAAAAAACGCGGGCCCCCCUUUUCAAGGGGACCCACGCGUUGAUGCACAUAGGGGUGAGAUGGAUGUGUGUGAGAGCGCUCGGGCGUGCACAACCUUUGUAAAGGUCAGCAACAGCCCUUGCGUCUCCAUCGUAUGAUAAUGAUCCUUCCGCAGGUUCACCUACGGAAA
rnacentral:misc_RNA from 1 species